AUUGAACGCUGGCGGCAUGCCUUACACAUGCAAGUCGAACGGCAGCAUGAUCUAGCUUGCUAGAUUGAUGGCGAGUGGCGAACGGGUGAGUAAUACAUCGGAACGUGCCCUGUAGUGGGGGAUAACUAGUCGAAAGAUUAGCUAAUACCGCAUACGACCUGAGGGUGAAAGUGGGGGACCGCAAGGCCUCAUGCUAUAGGAGCGGCCGAUGUCUGAGUAGCUAGUUGGUGAGGUAAAGGCUCACCAAGGCGACGAUCAGUAGCUGGUCUGAGAGGACGAUCAGCCACACUGGGACUGAGACACGGCCCAGACUCCUACGGGAGGCAGAAGUGGGGAAUUUUGGACAAUGGGCGAAAGCCUGAUCCAGCAAUGCCGCGUGUGAAGAAGGCCUUCGGGUUGUAAAGCACUUUUGUCCGGAAAGAAAUGGCUCUGGUUAAUACCUGGGGUCGAUGACGGUACCGGAAGAAUAAGGACCGGCUAACUACGUG
rnacentral:rRNA from 1 species